UGGGGAAUUUUGGACAAUGGGCGCAAGCCUGAUCCAGCCAUGCCGCGUGCGGGAAGAAGGCCUUCGGGUUGUAAACCGCUUUUGUCAGGGAAGAAAUCUUCUGAGUUAAUACCUCGGGAGGAUGACGGUACCUGAAGAAUAAGCACCGGCUAACUACGUGCCAGCAGCCGCGGUAAUACGUAGGGUGCAAGCGUUAAUCGGAAUUACUGGGCGUAAAGCGUGCGCAGGCGGUUUUGUAAGACAGAGGUGAAAUCCCCGGGCUCAACCUGGGAACUGCCUUUGUGACUGCAAGGCUUGAGUGCGGCAGAGGGGGGAUGGAAUUCCGCGUGUAGCAGUGAAAUGCGUAGAUAUGCGGAGGAACACCGAUGGCGAAGGCAAUCCCCUGGGCCUGCACUGACGCUCAUGCACGAAAGCGUGGGGAGCAAACAGGAUUAGAUAGCCCUGGUAGUCCACGCCCUAAACGAUGUCAACUGGUUGUUGGGAAGGUUCCUUCUCAGUAACGUAGCUAACGCGUGAAGUUGACCGCCUGGGGAGUACGGCCGCAAGGUUGAAACUCAAAUGAAUUGA
rnacentral:rRNA from 1 species